rnacentral:rRNA from 1 species
GGAAGGAUCAUUACGAAAGGAGGAGUCUCCUACCGUGGCAGCGGGCUCGCCCGCUGUCCGACGAUCACGGCCCCCCUCACGGGGGGUACCCCCCCACCCUUGUAUAUUA